ACGAGUAAACACAGACUUACAGGAUGUGGUAGUGCUAAGCGGUAGCCUCGGAUGGUAAACUUUACAGAGCUCUUAAACUACCAGUUGUGACAGGGACGUGCACGGCGGAUAAACUGCGAAACAAACCCACCGAACAUUAAAGGAGUGUAUCCGCAACAAUGAAAGCAUGAGCGGCUUCUUAACCUGGCGCCGCUACGUUGAGCUAGCAUGCUAAGCGCUAAUGUAUGUUGUACGUUGGAAUGGUAGAAUGUAUUAGCACGAGCUCCUUCGGUCAUGGCAGCGGGAGUAGGAGCCGCUCAUGGCGGCGGCUCUCUGGAGUCCACUUUAGCCAGGAAGUUUCAAAGUGUCUCAAACACUAUGGAUUCAAUCCAAGGCUUGUCGACGUGGUGUAUCGACAACAAGAAGUACCACAGCGUGAUCGUGCGACACUGGAUGAAGUGUUUGAGGAAAUCUGAUGCCCCACACAGACUCAACCUGUUUUACCUCGCCAACGAUGUCAUUCAGAACUGUAAAAGGAAAAACGCCAUUGUCUAUCGCACCGAAUUUGCCGAGGUGCUCCCCGAGGCAUUCGUGCUUGUCAACCAAGAACGUGACUCAAAGGUUAUUAAAUCAGUGGAAAGGAUACUUACCAUCUGGGAGGAGAGAGGUGUGUACACAGGGACACUCAUUGCUGAGCUUAGGGGGAACUUAAUCAAAGAAGAGUCUCCUCCUGAGACACCUGUGGAGCAAAAAACUCCAGUUGAAGCUUCAGCAGAAUUCAGGUCAAAGGUUGUUGAUGAGUUUGUGCCCCAGGCACUAAUAGACCAACUGGCCAAGUACAAGCGAUCUCUGGAGGAAGUAGACCUGAGAGAAAAACAGCUGGCAGCUAUGAGGGUUGACAUCUGCAGUUCUGGUGCCCUGAAAAAACUCAAAGAUAAGGCUGGAGGAAAGAGGUUCUCCAAGGACUUUGAGGAGGCAAAUGCACAACUACAAGAGUUUGUCAAGUUUCUUGAGAAAGAAAGCAAAGUGGGACCUCCUGUCAUGGAGGCCCUCACCAAUGCCGAUAUCUUCUACGAGAUGCAGUACAAGGAGGUCAAGAUUGUCGCAAACGCCUACCAAACGUUUGCAAACCGCGUGUCCCACCUCAAGCGUAAGCUGGACGCCCUGAAGGCCACUCUACCAGACCUGGACGAGUCGCCCAUCCCCUCACCAUCUGCAGACGCUCCAUCUCCAACAGGGUCAGAAUCCCCUUUUCAUGGUAUGGAAAUGACCAACCCUGAUCCAGAUCUUGACGCCACUGUUAUGGACGAUGAGGUGGAGCCUCCGGCCCCAAGCCCUCUGUCCUCAGUGGGAGGAUCCCCGACUCGCUCACUCGAUGCCGUUGGAGAGAAUGACAAUCGUGAAGUGGAAGACAUGGAGCUCUCUGACGAGGAAAUGGACAGUACUGGCAUUAUAGUCGAGCAACAGAUGGAACCAGAGGUUUCUUCUCCAGUGAAUAGUGGCACUACAGAAGCAUCAGUAGCAACAGAGCAGCCUAAAGCACAGGUCACGCCUCCUGUGGCUGCUCCUGCAGCAUCUGCUCCUGCAACUGCUGUGGAAAGUGUUGACCUGGGUAAAAUUGGCUCCAUCCUCAACAGUUUAAGCUCAGUCAUAAAGAACACAGGAUCUUCAGUGGAGAGUCCUCCGGCAGUGGCUGCUCCUGCUGCCACACCUGCUCUCUCUGUGGCCUCACAAGAUAACUCUUCACUGGUAAACCUCCUCUCCAAGGUGGACGUGAGUCCUUCAGAGCUCCUCGGUGCUCUGUCCAAAGUCCAGGGCCAAAGCAGUUUCGGGGGCAUCAGCUCUGUGCUCAACAAACCAGCUGCAAAUGUCUCUUCAGCCUCCCCCAUUACAGGCAAGGUUCCUCCUCCUUUGUCCACAUCUGCAUCAGCAGUUCCCCCUCAAAGCCCGUCUCUCUCCUCUGUUGCACCAGUGCCUUCUCCACACAUUUCUGCUGUAGAGCAGAGCACAAACGCCCAAGCCCCCCCUCAGACUCCCAACCCAGCGUCCACCUUGGUUCAGGCUCUGCAUAGAAACAUGGAGCUUGCAACAGAAUCAGAUCCGUCCUCGUCCUCUACGAGUUUAGAGUCUAAAAUCCACAGCUUCCUGCAAGGGAACCCUGCCUUUAAUGCAUUUGACCUAGGUUUUUCUGUGAACCCAGUGGGCGGGGAAAAUCUCAACCCGGUCACUGGCACAGACAACCAGGAAGGGACUCCGGUGCGGGACGAGGGCGGAGGAACCCCAACUCAAGAUGAGAUCAUGGACAAGCCUGCUGUGGUCCCCUUUACUUCCAACGCCAAUACCAGGGAAACGGUGGAAAAAGCUGCUGUUGGAUAUCAGAGUAGCUCUCAGAUGAACAUUGUGGGUUCCCAACAGCAAGCUCAGAACGGGCAGGUCUACCAGCAACACCCACGUGGCAAACAGGAGAUGCCAGAGCAUGGGAUUUCCACCCCUGUAGCACAUUAUCAACAGUUCUCCACCUUGACUGGAGGGCGAGUGCCUGCAGAUAGAGCACAGACUGAUGACGGUUUUCAGCGGUUGAAUGAAAUGAGUUGGUAUAGUGACACUUACCCAGAGGGGAGCUCUCAGCAACCCAGAGGAUACAAUGUGACGAUUCCUGCAGGGCCUGCAGAGAGUAAGUCGUCGGGACUUUAUCAGUUCCAGACAGAGCUAAGUCGGGAACCUCCAGAGGCAGUUUCCCAGCAGGGCAGCGGCAUUCCCUCUGGUUUCUUCAGCAACAACCUCCCACCUGUCCCAAACUUACCUCCCCCUCCCCCUCCUCAGGCCUUUGAUGCUCCUCCUGUUAACAGCAAUCCCAUGAUUCCCCCAGACCAACAGGCCUUUAACCGUGCAGGGGAAGUCACUGGGGCCAGAACUGAGAGCGUGAUCGGUGGGAUGGUGGUGCACGACCAUCAGCACAAGUCCUUGUACCAUUCCGACGACGCACUCUUCAAACACGGCCCACCUCGCCCUCCUCACCCCGAGGAGUUACACCCUCAAAGAAAUGACUUGCAGUAUCGCGACAAAUUUUACGGUCGUGAUUCCAUGCACUUUCAGGAGGAUGCUUACCGACACCCAGAUGAUCCAUAUUAUAGGCCAGGCAGUCCUCCGCACCACUACCUAAGAGGUCAAGGCAUCACGCCCCCACUUUCUCCCUCUGAAGACCCUUACUAUAGCCAUGACUACCAGCACCACAGCACCCCUCCUCCACAAUUCAUUCCAAGAAGACCACUGCCACCUCGUUUAGAGCCACAUCACCCUGCUAUGCGACCUCCCCAUAUGCAUCCCCGCCCUGGACACCACCUGCACCCAAGGGGGCCCCCCCACGCGCCCUUUCCCCCUCGGUUUCAUGGCCCCAACCCGGUGCUAAGAGGCAAACGUCCAGGUCCAAGAGGGGGAGGGGGAAAUCCUGGUCCAAUGUUUCCCCCAAAAAGACCUUUUCCACAUCCACGGUACUGACUGGAGCUGUUGAUUUGAGCUCUGAAUCUCUAUAGGUGUCACAAAGGCAGGGGGCAGGUCUUUUUACAUUGUCCGGCAGUUUUGAAAGUCACUCAGUUUUGAGUUCCACGCCCUGCCAAUAGGACUCUGAUAAUCUGAAACGGCAAAAGUCAGUGGGUCAAAGUGCAGACGCUGAGGUGGGAACCAGAGCGGACGGUGAAACUGAAGAAAGAACUUCUGCAGCUAAGUGGAGGAAAAGUCAAAGAACGCAUCGCUUAGGAGGUUGAGGAUCGACACCAACAAAAGAAAACAGAGGCUCUGAGAAGGCUGCUGAGCUGAGGAGUGAAGGGAGAAGAAGAAAGAGAAUAAGAGGGAAGCAGAGCCACACUUUGAUGUGUCUGAUGUGAUGGCAACUUUUCCCCCCGCAAGUUCACAGAUGGAGGUGGAGAGAGUGUGUUGCUGUUGCUGCUGCUGCUGCUGCUGAUGCUUCCACUAAUGUCUCUUUGUGGUGUGACAUGAUUGCAGCUGAGUAAGCCUCCAGUUUAGCACCGACACAGAGCCACCAGCAGGAAAUUAAAAAAGAAAACAAGCAGUAGAGGCAGGGAGGAAAAUAAAAUGCUGAACAUGUUUCUCUCUGUGUGUCAGUGGAUGUUUGAGAGAGGCACCGUAGAUGAAGGGAGGUGUUUGGACAGAAAGGCCCCUGUGAAGUAAGUACAACCACAAACAUUGACAGACACGUUUUUUCCUCCUUCUCUCCGUUUGUGUUUCACUCAUCCACGCAAUAACUGCACGCUGCAAAAUCCAAUAAAUGUAUCUAUUUUUCUAUGAAACAAAGGUA